rnacentral:rRNA from 1 species
AUGGCAGAAUUUGUCGUGCUUCUGGGUGGAUGCGAACGCAUGUCUCGUAGGCCAUACGACGUUUAUCUUUACACCGAAAACUUCAUGUUCGGCCGGCAUGCUGAGAAGCAGAAGCUCUUGAUCUUCUUGCUGCAGCACAAUGACCCUCAUGGUGAUCAUGCACCUGCCAUUCUUCCAGUCAUAGGUGGUGCCUCGGUAGGAAAGAAAACUUUGGUUGCUCAUGUGUGUGGCGACGAAAGGGUUCACUCACGCUUCUCCUCCAUUUUGCACUUGAAUGGAGACAGCUUUAUGAGGAUACUUGACAACGGAAGGAGCAUGUUUGGGAUGGUGUUGGUGGUUAUUACGUUUGCUUCUGAUAUAGAAGACGAUGAUUGGAAAAAGUUUCACUCCUUUGUCAUAACAAUGGGCAGAGGAAGCAAGAUCAUCAUCAUUAGUAGACUUCAAAGGCUAGCUCGAUUCGGAUCGGUGAAACCGAUUUUCCUAACUGUUCUGUCUUAUGACGAGUUGAGGUACCUUCUCAAGACACUGGUAUUUGGAAGUGUAGACCCCAUGUAA